CACACCCUCCCUAAGACU
rnacentral:tRNA from 1 species